rnacentral:rRNA from 1 species
GAUGAACGCUGGCGGCGUGCUUAACACAUGCAAGUCGAACGAUGAAGCUCAGCUUGCUGGGUGGAUUAGUGGCGAACGGGUGAGUAACACGGGAGUAACCUGCCCAUGCCUCUGGGCUAAGGCUGGGAAACUGGGUCUAAUACCGGAUAGGAACGUCUACCGCAGUGUGGCUGUUGGAAAGAUUUAUCGGUCAUGGAUGUACUCGCGGCCUAUCCGCUUGUUUGUGAGGUGAUGGCUCACAAAGGCGACGACGGGUAGCAGGGCUGAGAGGGUGACCGGCCACACUGGGACUGAGACACGGCCCAGACUCCUACGGGAGGCAGCGGUGGUGAAUAUUGCACAAUGGGCGAAAGCCUGAUGCAGAGACGCCGCGUGAGGGAUGACGUCCUUCGGGUUGUAAACCUCUUUCAGUAGCGAAGAAGCGAAAGUGACGGUACCUGCAGAAGAAGCACCGGCUAACUACGUGCCAGCCGCCGCGGUAA